AUUGAACGCUGGCGGCAGGCCUAACACAUGCAAGUCGAGCGGAUGACGGGAGCUUGCUCCUGGAUUCAGCGGCGGACGGGUGAGUAAUGCCUAGGAAUCUGCCUGGUAGUGGGGGACAACGUUUCGAAAGGGACGCUAAUACCGCAUACGUCCUACGGGAGAACGCAGGGGACCUUCGGGCCUUGCGCUAUCAGAUGAGGCUAGGUCUGAUUAGCUAGUUGGUGAGGUAAUGGCUCACCAAGGCGACGAUCCGUAACUGGUCUGAGAGGAUGAUCAGUCACACUGGAACUGAGACACGGUCCAGACUCCUACGGGAGGCAGCAGUGGGGAAUAUUGGACAAUGGGCGAAAGCCUGAUCCAGCCAUGCCGCGUGUGUGAAGAAGGUCUUCGGAUUGUAAAGCACUUUAAGUUGGGAGGAAGGGUUGUAGAUUAAUACUCUGCAAUUUUGACGUUACCGACAGAAUAAGCACCGGCUAACUCUGUGCCAGCAGCCGCCGUAACAC
rnacentral:rRNA from 1 species